UAAAAAAAAUUCUUCUUUUUUAACCAUACAUUUUCCCAAAAAAAUACUAUUUUAUAAUACAUUUUGCCAAAAUUUCUCUCUAUAAUAGGGCCCCGUUUGGGAGUGAUUUUCACCCCUAAAAAUUUGAUUUUUUGACCGUUAUUUCACUAUUUCAAUUUCAACUGUAAUUUUUGAUUUCUUCUCUCGCAGUUGGCUCCCACUUUUUUCCUAACAGUCAAAAAAUCAAUUUUCAAAAUCACCACCGAACAAACCCUAGAACUCAAACAAAGGCUUAAUAUUAUUCUCUUCUUAUUAUAGGAAUAUAUUUUUCAAUAUUAAAAACAUCUUCAAAGCCACUGAGAGAGUCAUAUUAAUUAAAUUUAAGUAAUACCAAAAACUCUCCCUUAUUUUAAGUUCAGAUAUCUCUUUUUUUUCGACAACCCUAGUUGACGUGAGAUGGAAACAUGAACAAUAAUAAAAGAAUCUUGUUUAUAAUACACGAAUGAAUGUUGAUUAAAUUUUGCUCAAACGGACGUGAAAAUUAUUGGAAUCUACUAAAUAACGAAAAAAAUUUGAAUUAUAAUUAAUCAAAAUGAAUGUAAUAUUUUCAAAACCUUAACACAUAUUUAAAUAUUCAAAACAAAUUCUUUUAAAAAUGAAAUUCUAAACCUGUGGAUAAAUUCAAAUAAAAAUAAAAAAAUUGCAAAAAUAAAGAUAAUACCCCUAAACUAUAUCAAAACUUCUAAAAUGCUAAAACGAACCCUAAAUGAAAAAAAUUUGGUCUCAAAAGUUUGACAAUGUUGGCCAAAGGACAUUGUCAUCCUAUUUUCAAAUUGUACUUGCUUGUGUAUUCCGAUAAUCGAGCAGAAAGUUAUGCAUAUUUUCAUAUAUCUUUAUUAUUCUUUUGCUUUUCUAAUUGAUUUAUAAUUUUCUCUUCCGAUUGAUUCGCAUCACUAGUCAAGCCCCCCUCUCCCCUCUUCCCAGCGAUAAUCGAGAAAUUUUAGAAAAUAAGAAGCAGAAGUUAUUUUAUACAAACUCAACAAUAACCUUAUAAUAUUCUUUUACUUUCGACUCUCUUCUUUUCUCUUUUAUUGUGUCUUUGUGUUCCUUCAUUACCAGAUCAACUUCCCUUUCGAAAGAAACAUGUAAUGCAUGUAAAUACUUGAUUUUUUCCCCUUGUUUUGAUAUUACAAAUUUUGUAGUAUCAUCAAAUAAACCUAUAAUAUUUACAAAAUUGAACAUUCAUAGACUUUCACUGUUUUUUGUGGGUCAACAAACAUGUUUGCAUGCCCACUAGCAACGUGGGUCACAUGACACUUCUUAGUUGUGUACCAUGUAUAUAACGCAUUUAACAAUUCCGUGCCCAACUUGGCCAUAGGACACUUGAUUAAGGUUGUACGCGUAUCUUUCCUUCAAUUUUCAAAAAAAAUUCAACGACUGAUUAAAUCGGGCCUUCAAAUAGUCUUCCCUGACCAUGUACUGCCUAAAGACCAAUGUCAAUUUCACAAUAAUUUUUGGUUAUUUAGAGCCUGUUUGGUUUAGAUUAUAAGCCAAUUAUAAUUAAUUUUUUGAUCGUUAUUUUACCAUUCUAGCAGUCAUUUUUGAAUUCUCCUCUCAUAGAUAGGACCCACUUUAUCUCUAACGGUCAAACUAUCAAUUAUCAUAAUUCCUAUCAAACAAACACUUAAGCUCAACACUGUAACUAGGCUUGGUUAAAGAAAAAUCCGUGUUUUGUUUGAAUCGCCUACUCGGAUGCUUUGCUUAGGACGCAAUUUACAUUACACGUUAAGUCAAAAGUUUUUCCUUAUUUGUUAACCACACAUUUUCUAUCAAAAUACUAUUUCAAAAUGUAUUUUGAGCAAAAAAUGGAGCUCAAAUAGGCUCUUAAGUAACGUGCCUAAUCAAUUUUUCUAGAGUAAUGUUAUGUAGUUCAAUUAGCAAUUUAUCAAUAGUCUAUGUAGACACGGUAGAUUUAAUUGAGUAUGAUCUCAUAAAAUUACAUUUUAUUGAACUUAUGAUUUAUGUUACAUACAAAGAUUAGUGUAAUUGUUUGGUAAUCUUUUUUUUUUUUUUUUGGGUGGAGACUCGAAGGAGAACAGUAUUCUUAAGUGAACAAGGAGGGAAAGGGUGAUGGUGACGUGAAUUUGGAUGGUGUGGAGUCGGCAGAGAACAUAUUCUGAUUUGAGCUUCUGAGAAAUUUCUAUCUUCUCAAUGUGGACUUGAGCAGGGGCGGACCCAGACCGUUCGAAUUAUGGGGUCAAAAUUUUUUUGUUUUUCGAACAACAUAUUAUGAACAAAAAUGAAAAAUAGGUUGUUUGUUGUUCAUGUUCGAUAUUUGCACUUUGGGAAAAAAUCGGUGGAUUAUAUGAUAUAUCUAUGGACUAAAUAAUGGAUAUGGACCAUGUGAUAUGGAUAUAGAUUUAGGAUUUGGACUUUUUGGGGUAAAAAAUUAAGUUUACAACAAAAAAAAAAAAAAAAAAAUUCCAGAAAACUGUGGGGUCUUUUGUCCCCACAUGACCCCAUGUGGGUCCGCCCCUGGACUUGAGUCACAAUUAUUAUAAUUUGUGUUACUUUUACAUUUUUAUGACGUGGGGAAUAAUUAUGAAUUAAUGUCACAAAGUUACAUGUUAUUUUGCUG
rnacentral:lncRNA from 1 species